rnacentral:rRNA from 1 species
GAUGAACGCUGGCGGCGUGCCUAAUACAUGCAAGUCGAGCGAAUGGAUUAAGAGCUUGCUCUUAUGAAGUUAGCGGCGGACGGGUGAGUAACACGUGGGUAACCUGCCCAUAAGACUGGGAUAACUCCGGGAAACCGGGGCUAAUACCGGAUAACAUUUUGAACCGCAUGGGUCGAAAUUGAAAGGCGGCUUCGGCUGUCCCUUAUGGCUGGACCCGCGUCGCAUUAGGUAGUUGGUGAGGUAACGGCUCACCAAGGCAACGAUGCGUAGCCGACCUGAGAGGGUGAUCGGCCACACUGGGACUGAGACACGGCCCAGACUCCUACGGGAGGCAGCAGUAGGGAAUCUUCCGCAAUGGACGAAAGUCUGACGGAGCAACGCCGCGUGAGUGAUGAAGGCUUUCGGGUCGUAAAACUCUGUUGUUAGGGAAGAACAAGUGCUAGUUGAAUAAGCUGGCACCUUGACGGUACCUAACCAGAAAGCCACGGCUAACUACGUGCCAGCAGCCGCGGUAA